UACAGAGGGGGCAAGCGUUGUUCGGAAUUACUGGGCGUAAAGGGCGCGUAGGCGGCCUGCUAAGUCGAACGUGAAAUCCCUGAGCUCAACUCGGGAACUGCGUCCGAUACUGACAGGCUUGAAUCCGGGAGAGGGAUGCGGAAUUCCAGGUGUAGCGGUGAAAUGCGUAGAUAUCUGGAGGAACACCGGUGGCGAAGGCGGCAUCCUGGACCGGCAUUGACGCUGAGGCGCGAAAGCUAGGGGAGCAAACGGG
rnacentral:rRNA from 1 species